GUGGACAUGCCAAAGUGGUUAUCGGGCAUGACUUGAUAUCAUGUGGGAUCUUCUCGCAUAGGUUCAAAUCCUGUCGUCCACA
rnacentral:tRNA from 1 species